GAGCGCCCAGCAAUGGGAGCGGCGGACGGGUGAAUAACGCGUGGGAAUAUGCCCUUUGGUACGGAACAACUCAGGGAAACUUGAGCUAAUACCGUAUGAGCCAGAAAUGGGAAAGAUUUAUCGCCAAAGGAUUAGCCCGCGUCCGAUUAGCUAGUUGGUGGGGUAAUGGCCUACCAAGGCGACGAUCGGUAGCUGGUCUGAGAGGACGACCAGCCACACUGGGACUGAGACACGGCCCAGACUCCUACGGGAGGCAGCAGUGGGGAAUAUUGGACAAUGGGCGCAAGCCUGAUCCAGCAAUGCCGCGUGAGUGAUGAAGGCCUUAGGGUUGUAAAGCUCUUUCGGCGGGGACGAUGAUGACGGUACCCGCAGAAGAAGCCCCGGCUAACUUCGUG
rnacentral:rRNA from 1 species